UAUACGGUUAAAAUUCAGAAACGACCCUAAAUCCCUUUAAACAAUUUACAAUUUUUGAAAAUAUAUUUGACCCUAAUUUUUAUAAUUUGAAAAUAUCAAAUAUUAUCAGUUUAUUACGUUAUAGUCUUUUUAAACUCGUGAUGGAAAUAAAAUUAGACUUUACGUCAAAAAGCAAUUGAUUACAACCAGGAAUCAAAAGAUAGCAAUUUUUCGUUUAAGUAAAAUUAUCUUUUUCUCAAGCACGGUUCAGAAAAUGGUUUUGUUAAGUGUUUUCCCUGGUAGAACAACAUAAUUACGUAAAAACUAAAUAGUUCAUGAUAAAGAUUGCUGAUUGUGUUUGCAUCUACCAGUCACACAUAUUGAAAACCAAUACCAAACAAUGAAUUAUUGAAUACAGCCACGUUAAAGCCACUAAUAAUUCAUUCCGUAAUUUAAGUAUUGAUUGUUAAAAAACCUAUUUAUUUUUUUCACUCCUUGUAAGGCAAAAACAAAAAUUGUCGCUCUUGUUGUUUUUAAACAACAGUAAAUUCUACUAAUGCUAUGAAUUCCAAUAAUCAAAUAAAUAAUCAGUUCUUAUUUACCAAAGAACCGAGACCAAAGUAACAAUAAACAUGGAAUGUUCCAGUUCUGAAAAAUUUGGAAACAUAAAUAUCGCUUUAUACUUACUUGCGGAAAUUACUUAAUAUGUAAAAAGACAUUGUGGAUGUAUUUUCUUGUAAAUUGAAAACACAAAUUAAACCAAUAGCACAGAUGUGA